CGGAAUGAGUACACUCUAAACCCUUUAACGAGGAUCAAUUGGAGGGCAAGUCUGGUGCCAGCAGCCGCGGUAAUUCCAGCUCCAAUAGCGUAUAUUAAAGUUGUUGCGGUUAAAAAGCUCGUAGUCGAAUUUGUGUUUCGCGCCGCCGGUUCAUCGUUCGCGGUGUCAACUGGCGUGUCGCGAGACGUCCUGCCGGCGGGCUUAGCCUUUCGGGGCGGCCCAACUCAAUCCCGCCGCGGUGCUCUUUGUUGAGUGUCGAGGUGGGCCGGCACGUUUACUUUGAACAAAUUAGAGUGCUUAAAGCAGGCUAAAACUUCGCCUGAAUACUGUGUGCAUGGAAUAAUGAAACAGGACCUCGGUUCUAUUUUGUUGGUUUUCGGAACCCCGAGGUAAUGAUUAACAGGAACGGAUGGGGGCAUUCGUAUUGCGACGUUAGAGGUGAAAUUCUUGGAUCGUCGCAAGACGGACAGAAGCGAAAGCAUUUGCCAAAAACGUUUUCAUUGAUCAAGAACGAAAGUUAGAGGUUCGAAGGCGAUCAGAUACCGCCCUAGUUCUAACCAUAAACGAUGCCAGCUAGCGAUCCGCCGACGUUCCACAUAUGACUCGGCGGGCAGCUUCCGGGAAACCAAAGCUUUUGGGUUCCGGGGGAAGUAUGGUUGCAAAGCUGAA
rnacentral:rRNA from 1 species